GUGCCAGCAGCCGCGGUAAUACGUAGGGUCCGAGCGUUGUCCGGAUUUAUUGGGCGUAAAGAGCUCGUAGGCGGCUCAGUUAGUCGGAUGUGAAAACUCGGGGCUCAACCCCGAGACGCCAUCCGAUACUGCUGUGGCUCGAAUCUGGUAGGGGAGCACGGAAUUCCUGGUGUAGCGGUGAAAUGCGCAGAUAUCAGGAGGAACACCGGCGGCGAAGGCGGUGCUCUGGGCCAGUAUUGACGCUGAGGAGCGAAAGCGUGGGUAGCAAACAGGAUUAGAAACCCGCGUAGUCC
rnacentral:rRNA from 1 species